rnacentral:lncRNA from 10 species
CGAUGAUUCCAGAUGGAAAAAAUGGAAAUGCUUCAUCCAUGUGCUAGUUCAGCCUGUGAGAUGCUGGUGAGCCCACCUCCAGGCACUCACGGACUCCCCACCCAUUGAGUGUGGCCUGGAUUUAGUGACUCAAUCAAACGUGACAGAGUGCUGGGGUGUCAUUUUCAAGACUGGGUUAUGUGAAGACUGCAGCCUCCAUCUGGGGUGCUCUCUCUUGGAUUGCUUGCUCAGGGAUGUGGGGAGAGCUGCUGUGCUGGGAGGCUGCCCAUGUGAGUUGACUUGGAUGUGAACCUUCUGUGGCCUGCCAAUAGCCACGUGUUUGUGUGGACACUGCUGUCAUUUCUCUUGGGAAGAUACUGAGGAGUCAGAUUGCUGGAUCCCGUGAAGAAUGUGCACCUGGGAUUGGCUCUUGCUUCCUAAGGAACCUCAAAAAAGCUGCAACCUAUUGGAGACUUUUGAUUCAGCAUCAAGGAUAUGCGUGAGACUUUGGUUCUUUUCUGUUGGGACACAGUUGAUUCUGACUGUCUUAAAGUUAGGCUUUUCUAAAGAUUUAGACUAAUAAAUUAUUUGAAUGGGACAA